GAUGAAGAACGUAGUGAAAUGCGAUAAGUAAUGUGAAUUGCAGAAUUCAGUGAAUCAUCGAAUCUUUGAACGCACAUUGCGCCCGCCAAUAUUCUGGCGGGCAUGCCUGUUCGAGCGUCAUUUCAACCAUCAAGCCCCAGGCUUGUGUUGGGGACCUGCGGCUGCCGCAGGCCCUGAAAACCAGUGGCGGGCUCGCUGUCACACCGGGCGUAGUAGAUUUUAUCUCGCUCAGGGCGUGCUGCGGGUUCCGGCCGUUAAAAAGCCUUUUUUACCCAAGGUUGACCUCGGAUCAGGUAGGAAGACCCGCUGAACUUAAGCAUAUCAAUAAGCGGAGGA
rnacentral:misc_RNA from 1 species